rnacentral:tRNA from 1 species
AAAUAAGAAACAAAUUUUGUAAUUAGUUUCGACCUAAUCCUUGGUAAAUUACCCUUAUUUU